UCAGAAAACUUGAAGGGCAUUUCCUCUUUGGCAUAAGGUAAUAUGACCUCUUCCAAGUAUUUUGAUGUAUUCAAACUGAUCCAUGAUCCCUGAAAUGCAAUA